CUUUGUAGUGACAGGUGGACUUUCUUUUGCCUUGAGGGUAUUGCCUAUUGCUUAGGUCGGGGACAAAAUGGGUGCCCCUAGAAAAAUGUAGAGCUCUACAUGGGGGUGUCCAUCCUUAUUGGCCUAAGGGUGGGGGCAAGGGAUCACGUGUUGGUCUUUAAUGGGCAUAGCCAUUUGUAUGUAUGGAGGGAGGAUCAUGAGGGCUUGAGGAUGAAAAGGAGGAGCAUGACCUACACGGUUAAAGGGAGGAUUGGGGAGUUUCGAAUAUCCUUGUCAACAUGCUCAAUUGAAUCCAAGGCUACAAUGGUUGCAAUUACUAGUCCCUUCGGCUAAGAGUGGUGUCAUCUAUUUGUUUGAAUUGUUGGCAAGUAAUGUGUGGUUACAUGGUUCAUAGCACUUGGGCAAGACAACAUAGGGGGUUAAAUGUUGCUUGCCAGAUCUGGAAAGGGGUGAUCCAUCCUAAGUCUAAGGGACUAAGAAGGGAUCAUUCUGGCAUUGGUUUCAAAAAGCAGACUGCUACAGAUUGGCAAGUAUGGAAAGAAAGAAAGAAAGAAAGAAUGCAAGUUGACAUUGUUUCAAACAUGGUGGAGAAUAGAUAGAAACUGCUAAAAGGGUCAGAGGGAAAAAAUCUGAUUAUCAUCAUAGUUGAAUAGAAAUUAGUUUUAGUACUAACUUGAGUAACCUUCUUGAAUAGAAUACUUAAUUUUAUUUUGGAGAAGUAAAUUGCAUAGAAUGCAAUUACUCUGACAUAAUAUAUUUCCAAUUGAUGCUUACACAAUAUUUCAACCUCCUUGCUAGAAUAUUGCCCCUGUGGAGCUGAUUGCUAAGUUUCUGGAUGAAAAACUUCGUGCCGGGAAUAAGGGUACUGGGUACAUCGGAAGAGGAGUUGGAGGGUACACUUGACAAAGCCUUGGGUUUUAUUUCGUUUUAUACAGGGUAAAGAUUUUUUUGAAGCAUUCUACAAGAAAGAUCUUGCAAAAAGGUUAUUGUUGGGGAAAAGUGCUUCAAUUGAUGCAGAGAAGUCCAUGAUUUAUAAGUUAAAGACGGAGUGUGGUAGCCAGUUUACCAAUAAACUUGAAGGGAUA